rnacentral:miRNA from 1 species
ACAUACUUCCUUGCUAUCCCAUA